rnacentral:rRNA from 1 species
GACGAACGCUGGCGGCGUGCUUAACACAUGCAAGUCGAACGGGUCUGCCCUGUUUUUUGCGGGGUGGGUCUGUGGCGAACGGGUGAGUAACCCGUGAGUAACCUGCCCCUCACUUCUGGAUAACCGCUUGAAAGGGUGGCUAAUACGGGGUGUUCUUGCUGUGCCGCAUGGUGUGGCUGGGAAAGAUUCACUUUUGUGGUGUUUUGGUGGGGGAUGGGCUCGCGGCCUUUCUGCUUGUUGGUGGGGUGUUGGCCUGCCAAGGUUGUGACGGGUCGGCGGCGUGAGGGGGUGGGCGGUCACACUGGGAGUGAGAUACGGCACAGACUCAUGCGGGAGACAGCAGGGGGGGGUAUUGCACAGUGGGCGGAAGCCUGAUGCAGCGACGGCGCGUGAGGGAUGGAGGCCUGCGGGUUGUGAACCUCUUUCGCCGGUGAAGAAGGUCCGGCUCUUUGUGGUGGGGUUGACGGUAGCCGGGUUAUGAAGCGCCGGCUAACUACGUG